rnacentral:rRNA from 1 species
GGGGCAACGGUGGAGCAUGUGGUUUAUUCGAGCAACGCGAAGAACCUUACCAGGUCUUGACAUCCUUUGACCACUCUAGAGAUAGAGCUUCCCCUUCGGGGGCAAAGUGACAGGUGGUGCAUGGUUGUCGUCAGCUCGUGUCGUGAGAUGUUGGGUUAAGUCCCGCAACGAGCGCAACCCUUAUUGUUAGUUGCCACCAUUCAGUUGGGCACUCUAGCAAGACUGCCGGUGACAAACCGGAGGAAGGUGGGGAUGACGUCAAAUCAUCAUGCCCCUUAUGACCUGGGCUACACACGUGCUACAAUGGGAAGUACAACGAGUUGCGAAGUCGCGAGGCUAAGCUAAUCUCUUAAAGCUUCUCUCAGUUCGGAUUGCAGGCUGCAACUCGCCUGCAUGAAGCCGGAAUCGCUAGUAAUCGCGGAUCAGCACGCCGCGGUGAAUACGUUCCCGGGCCUUGUACACACCGCCCGUAAAA